rnacentral:rRNA from 1 species
GAUGAACGCUGGCGGCGUGCUUAACACAUGCAAGUCGAACGAAGCACUUUAUUUGAUUUCCUUCGGGACUGAUUAUUUUGUGACUGAGUGGCGGACGGGUGAGUAACGCGUGGGUAAACUGCCUUGUACAGGGGGAUAACAGUUGGAAACGGCUGCUAAUACCGCAUAAGCGCACGGCAUCGCAUGAUGCAGUGUGAAAAACUCCGGUGGUAUAAGAUGGACCCGCGUUGGAUUAGCUAGUUGGUGAGGUAACGGCCCACCAAGGCGACGAUCCAUAGCCGACCUGAGAGGGUGACCGGCCACAUUGGGACUGAGACACGGCCCAAACUCCUACGGGAGGCAGCAGUGGGGAAUAUUGCACAAUGGGCGAAAGCCUGAUGCAGCGACGCCGCGUGAGCGAAGAAGUAUUUCGGUAUGUAAAGCUCUAUCAGCAGGGAAGAUAAUGACGGUACCUGACUAAGAAGCACCGGCUAAAUACGUG